rnacentral:rRNA from 1 species
GAUGAACGCUGGCGGCGUGCUUAACACAUGCAAGUCGAACGGAAAAGCCCAAUCUUGCUUGGGUCCUCAAGUGGCGAAAGGGUGAGUAACACGUGGGUGAUCUGCCCUGCACUUCGGGAUAAGCCUGGGAAACUGGGUCUAAUACCGGAUAGAACAACUUCAUAGUUGUUUUGUUGGAAAGUUUUUUCGGUGUGGGUUGAGCUCGCGGCCUAUCAGCUUGUUGGUGGGGUAUGGGCCUACCAAGGCGUCGACAGGUAGCCGGGCUGAGAGGACGUAGGGCCACAUUGGGAGUGAGAUACGGGUCAGAAUCCUACGGGAGGCAGCAGUGGUGAAUAUUGCACAAUGGGCGGAAGCCUGAUGCAGCGACGGAGCGUGGGGGAUGACGGCCUUCGGGUUGCAAACUCCUUUCGGCAAAGACGAAUUUAGGACGGUAUUUGGAGAAGAAGCACCGGCUAACUACGUG